rnacentral:rRNA from 1 species
AUUGAACGCUGGCGGCAGGCCUAACACAUGCAAGUCGAACGAGUGGCGGACGGGUGAGUAAUGCCUGGGAAUCUAGCUUAUGGAGGGGGAUAACUACUGGAAACGGUAGCUAAUACCGCGUACCAUAGGAUGAGCCCAAGUGGGAUUAGGUAGUUGGUGAGGUAACGGCUCACCAAGGCGACGAUCCCUAGCUGGUCUGAGAGGAUGACCAGCCACACUGGAACUGAGACACGGUCCAGACUCCUACGGGAGGCAGCAGUGGGGAAUAUUGCGCAAUGGGGGCAAGCCUGACGCAGCCAUGCCGCGUGUAUGAAGAAGGCCUUCGGGUUGUAAAGUUCUUUCAGUAGCGAGGCGUUACUCGCAGAAGAAGCACCGGCUAACUCCGUGCCAGCAGCCGCGGUAAUAC